CCUCCUUGUCCCAGAGGCCUUGGAAAUCUUAUCUUUUGGACUACAGCUCCCAGAACCCUACAGCCAGCAUGCCAAAUGUUUUACCUGGGGAGGAGGGAGGUCAUUCAUCUGGCUACAGAGAAGAGGAGAGUGAGAUAUGAACCCAGCGCGGGGUUGGCAGAAGCUGGGGCUAAUGAUGAAAGCUCACCCUGUCCUGCGAAUCCAAACCACCGACCUUCUGAUAGUAACCUGCUGUGCUACCACAGCCCUUUAACAUGGGGGCAGGAGGCUCAGGGCAGCUUCAGAGACAUGCGCCACGGAGAUCUGUCUGCAAGUGACUGGUGCCCAAGGAGUUCUGCUUUUAUUCUCCCUUUUUGGUUCCUCACCGCCUCGCUUUCAUCCAGAUGUCACAGUUGAAAUUACACAUGCAAAAUACAUGGAGGUUUUUUGUCUGUUCUGCCGAAGUGGAGAAAAUCCAGUCCAUGGGGAUGUUCUUGUAUCAAGAUUUUACUGGUUUCGGGAUGAUUGAAACUUGCUGUCAUAUCAGCCUGGGAAUUCAGCAUCAGUCUGUGACACAAGGAUAACUUGGUAUUAGGACAGUCUAUCCCCCCAUGGGAAGCAAUCAGGACUGUUGACAAUCUUUUGUGCAUUUUGAAGAUAUUCGAUAUUAGCAUGACAAGCUAUUUAUUAUUUUUCUCACACAAUGGAAAGAGAGCUAAUUCACAGUCAAUAUGAUCUGAGCAGCAAGUAGACGGUCCAGGUUUAGUGUCAUUUUGCAUUGAUUCCCAAGUUAUCUUGUGAGAUGGAAACAAAUGUUUUGUUUUUUGAUAUUCCCAUCCUGCCUUGAUAGGCUGUGAACUAUAUCAAGGGUUUUGAGAAAACAAUAAUAAAUAAGCAUUAUUAAUUCAGAUUACAAUAUCACAGCUAGCAGUGAUACAAAUAAAAUUGUUAAUGAUGUAAUACUGAUGCAGAAGAAGCAAUGAGGUGAGCAGAAUCAGAAACAAAUGUGAAUCAAAAUUAUAAAAUUGAUCCCACAACCAGAGUCAGAGUAGCAGAAAACAAUGCAGAGAAAGCCACAUCGUUGUUACAUUCAAGUUUUUAAAAGUUAUUAUUAUUAUUAAAUUUGCAUCUUGCCUUUUUCUCAGGAUUAAAACCCAAGUUGCUCAUAUACAAAAAUCAAAAGGAGCAAUUCAAUUACUUUCCUGAGAAGUCUGAAAGUAAAGGGUUAUUUUUACAGACAUAACAGCCUUGGUCUACACUGCCAUAUACUGCAGUUUAGAAGUGCAUUAUGUGGUUAGUGUAGAGCCAUAUAAUGCAGUUUAACUGCACUGAACUGCAUUGAAGGUGUCUCUACACCAGGCAUGGGCAAACUUGUAGACUGUUAGAAAUUGUGGGAGUUGAAGUCCAAAACACCUGGAAGGCCCAAGUUUGCCCAUGCGUGUUCUACACAGACCAUAUAAUGCAGUUCCAAACCUCUCCCAAGACAAGUAUUUAUGGCUGUUAUAGAAUGUAUGCUUUUCUCAGCCCCUAAGAAAAGAGAGGUCUUUGCCUGC